AUGCAAGUCGAGCGGACAGAAGGAAGCUUGCUCCCGGAUGUAGCGGCGGACGGGUGAGUAACACGUGGGUAACCUGCCUGUAAGACUGGGAUAACUCCGGGAACCGGAAGCUAAUACCNGGAUAGUUCCUUGAACCGCAUGGUUCAAGGAUGAAAGACGGUUUCGGCUGUCACUUACAGAUGGACCCGCGGCGCAUAGCUAGUUGGUGAGGUAACGGCUCACCAAGGCGACGAUGCGUAGCCGACCUGAGAGGGUGAUCGGCCACACUGGGACUGAGACACGGCCCAGACUCCUACGGGAGGCAGCAGUAGGGAAUCUUCCGCAAUGGACGAAAGUCUGACGGAGCAACGCCGCGUGAGUGAUGAAGGUUUUCGGAUCGUAAAGCUCUGUUGUUAGGGAAGAACAAGUGCAAGAGUAACUGCUUGCACCUUGACGGUACCUAACCAGAAAGCCACGGCUAACUACGUGCCAGCAGCCGCGGUAAUACGUAGGUGGCAAGCGUUGUCCGGAAUUAUUGGGCGUAAAGGGCUCGCAGGCGGUUUCUUAAGUCUGAUGUGAAAGCCCCCGGCUCAACCGGGGAGGGUCAUUGGAAACUGGGAAACUUGAGUGCAGAAGAGGAGAGUGGAAUUCCACGUGUAGCGGUGAAAUGCGUAGAGAUGUGGAGGAACACCAGUGGCGAAGGCGACUCUCUGGUCUGUAACUGACGCUGAGGAGCGAAAGCGUGGGGAGCGAACAGGAUUAGAUACCCUGGUAGUCCACGCCGUAAACGAUGAGUGCUAAGUGUUAGGGGGUUUCCGCCCCUUAGUGCUGCAGCUAACGCAUUAAGCACUCCGCCUGGGGAGUACGGUCGCAAGACUGAAACUCAAAGGAAUUGACGGGGGCCCGCACAAGCGGUGGAGCAUGUGGUUUAAUUCGAAGCAACGCGAAGAACCUUACCAGGUCUUGACAUCCUCUGACAACCCUAGAGAUAGGGCUUUCCCUUCGGGGACAGAGUGACAGG
rnacentral:rRNA from 1 species